CAUAAAUUUGGGCCUUAAAAGUCAAAACGGUGCUGGGAGAUAUUUGAAAAAUGACCGUUGUUAACUUUUGAUAAAUAGCCGUUACAUUUCAGAGACUCGUUGAGGCAAAUAAAAACAGUCUCUCUCCUUCUUCGUCUCGGAAAUCCAGAAAGACUCUCUUCUUCUUCUCUCUUUUUUCUUCUUCAUCAUCAUUAGUCAACUCCUCUCAAAUCUCCGGUUCGAACAAAUUGGGCAGAGGAAAAACAUUUCUGAUCGGUGGAGUUCAAGUUUGAAUCUGCUGGAGGUGGAGUAAUCUUGUACAUUCAAGGUUAAAACUGGGUCGGAAUAAAUUCGUGAAUUCGGUCCUUUGCUUCGGUGGUUAUGAAUCAUUUAUUUAUUUAUUUAUUUGUAGAAUACAAGGGGCAGUUUCUCUGUUAUGUAAAUUAAUGUAUAAUCUUUGAAUGUAGUUGUGGGUUAUGUGUUGUAGAGGAGGAUCAAGUAAACUGGAAAAGUACAAAUAAAAAUGGAAAAUUUUUCGCUUGGGAGAGAAGAGACCGCUGCGGGAUUGCCUCAUUGAUCCAGGGCUCUUCUUCUCUUGUGUGUAUGUAUGUGUGCGUGUGGGUGUGUUGCUUUCUUUCCCCUUUACAUUUGCCUCUCAACAUUCUCUUUUCAAUUUCUCUUAUUUUCCAACUCCUCAUUCUUCUUCACUUAUUCCCUUUUUUCAUAAUUCCUAUCUCUUUUUCUUUCCACUGUAUUUUCUCCUUUUUUUUCUUUAUAUUUUGCCUCUAGUUUUUUUCCCUGCUUUCUCUACAUAAUUUAUCUCUUCUUUGCCUUUCUAAUUUCUUUCUUUCUUUUAUCUCUUUACUUUCUUCUUUUGUUUUAUCUCUCCUUGGUUUCUCACUUAUUUUCUUUACUCACUUUUUCUUUCAACAUUCUCUUUCCUUUUGUUUUUCCCUCUAAUUUCAUGCUCUAUUUUCUCACUAUAAAUUUCUUAUCUUCUUUUCUUCCUCUAUUUUCUUUUCACAUUUUCUUUCUAUUUUCUCUUUAAUUUCUCUUCACUCUCUAGUAUCUUUAUUAAUAUUGCCUAUGAGUAAUUGUCUGUUUCAAUUGUUAAUAAUGCCUAAUUUUAUAAAAUUUCAUUUAUGUCCUUGAACGGUUAUAAAAUAAAAAAUUACAAAAUACUAUUAGAUUCAGUUAAUUUUGUUAAAAUUAGAUACAAGAAACAAGAAAGAAAAGAAAUAAUAAGCAUAUAUAUAUAACCUUGAAACAUUCAAAAUUGAUAUUUAAAACAAAAA